UACGUAGGCAGCAAGCGUUGUUCGGAAUUACUGGGCGUAAAGAGUGUGUAGGCGGUUUGCUAAGUUUGGUGUGAAAUCUCCCGGCUUAACUGGGAGGGUGCGCCGAAAACUGGCAGGCUUGAGUGCCGGAGAGGAUAGCGGAAUUCCUGGUGUAGCGGUGAAAUGCGUAGAUAUCAGGAGGAACACCUGCGGUGUAGACGGCUAUCUGGACGGCCACUGACGCUGAGACACGAAAGCGUGGGUAGCAAACAGG
rnacentral:rRNA from 1 species